GGGUGCUGGGGGGAGGACGGGUGCACAGCAGCCUUGGUCCGGGUUGGCCCAGCCUGGCUGAAGGGACAGGGUGCCUUUUUCCUUUCGUAGAGUAUGGUCGUGUCACCUUAAUUUUCUGUUGUCUGCUGGGCACAGCUUCGUGCUGCUCCUCACUGCUGCACCCAGUGCCGGAAAGUGUGUGUGUGGCUUGAGUACAUCUGGGUGUGAAUGUGUGUGCCAGUGUUUCCGCCUAGGUGUGUGGUGUGUGGUGUGUAUGAAUGAGUGUGGUAUGUGCAUGAGGAGGUGUGUGGUGUGUGUGGUGGCUGUGUGUGGUGUGUGUGUGCACAUGUGUGGUUGGUGUGUGUUUAUGUGGCAUGUGUGGCUGUGCAUAUGUGCUGUGCAUGUGUGUGUGGUGUGUGUGUGCUGUGUGUGCCUUUGUGUACAUGUGUGGUGUGUGUGUGUGUGGUGAAUGUGUGUGUUGUGUGUGUCCAGUGUGGUGUGUGUGUGUGGUGUGUGUGUGUGGUGAAUGUGUCUGGUGUGGUGUGUGUGUGUGCCUGUGUAUACGUGGGUGGUGUGUCUGUGUCUGCUGUGUGUGUGUACAUGUGUGGUAUGUCUGUGUGUGGUGAAUGUGUGUGUUGUGUGUGUGUGUUGAGUGUGGUGUGUGUGAGGUGUGUGUGUGGUGUGUGUGUUUGUGUGGUGAAUGUGUCUGGUGUGGUGUGUGUGUGUCUGUGUCUGGUGUGUGUGUGUACAUGCGUGGUGUGUCUGUGUGUGUGGCGAAUGUGUGUGUCAUGUGUGUGUCUGGUAUGGUGUGUAUGUGGUGUGUGUGGUGAAUGUGUCUGGUGGUGUGUGUGUGUGCCUGUGUGUACGUGUGUGGUAUGCCUGUGUGGUGCGUGUGUGUGUACAUGUGUGGUGUGUCUGUGUGUGUGGUGAAUCUGUGUCUGGUGUGUGUGUGUAUGUGCACGCCUGUGUGUAUAUGUGUGGUGUGUCUGUGUGGUGAAUGUAUGUCUGGUGUGUGUGUGUGUGUAUGUGUGCGCCUGUGUGUACGUGUGUGGUGUGUCUCUGUGUGGUGAAUGUGUGUCUGGUGUGUGUGUGUACGUAUGCCCCUGUGUGUACGCGUGUGCUGUGGCUGUCUGGUGUGUGUGUCCAGUGUGGAGUGGUGUGUGUGUGCGUGUGUGCGUGUGUGCAUACCUGUGUGUAUGUGUGUGGUGUGUCGGUGUGUCUGGUGGGUGGUGCAUGUGUGGGGCAGGGAGGGUGGAUGUGGCAGUCUCAGGGCCUCUGGGAACAGGAAGUGGCUGUGUGGAGAGGGGCCCCGGGUUGGCCCGGGUGGGGACUCAUCCUGGUUCCCUCCUUCCCAGACUGACCUGGGUGGAGACUUAUCCUGGCCGCCUCCCUCCCAAGCUGACCUGGAUGGGGAGUCAUCCUGCCUCCCUUCCUCCCGGGCUGGCCUGGGUGGGGGCUCUUCCUGGCCGCCUCCCUCCCUGACUGAGCUUGGUCAUUCCUGCCCCGACUUUUGUUUCCUGGCUCACGGGUGUGAGCUGGUGUGCAGGUGUGUUGGGUGGAAGGUUCCAGAACCAGAGGUCAGAAGCCCUCCCUGCCUACACUUUCCUCCUCCCAUUCCUUUGCCGGGCAGAAGAGCAGGUAGCAAAGGUUCCCAGGUGGCCCGGUGCCUUGGGCUCUGGCAUGCCUGUGUCUGCACCUGGGGACUGAUGGGGUGGGGACCGGGAGCCUCAGCUGUGGGGCCAGCGUGGGCACCCCACGCAGUGCUAAGAUGUGGAGAGGGCGACUUUGUUGCUUAAUUAUGAACAGGUGGCCUUUGAUCUCUAAGGUGUCCUGGUGGCCUGGCUCUCUGUUUCCUUAGCAGGCACUGGGAGUCCUCCUGUUGAGAAACUGCUCAAGGGAGGUGCAUUUACUAGGGACACGGAGAACCCCCAGCUUGGCUCCCCAUGGAUUUGUGGCUGCACUGGCCUGUCACCGGCCAUUCCGGGCAUAAGCGGGGUUGGGGAGAAGUGUCCCUAAAAAAGAGGACUUGACCAGAAGGGAGAGGGCUCCAAGGACAGCAGGAUUGGAGGUCAGUCUAAAGAUCCCCCCCGGGAGGUGCAGGGACCAUUUACCGUACUCCCUGGAAGCCGGGCCCCUGGCUGAGUGCUCUCCAUGGAUGACCUCAGCUGACCCACCUGGCCACCUAUAGAGGAGGAUCCUGUUCUCAGAGAGGGUGAAGUCACCUCCACAGGGACAGGGAGCUGGAGAGACAGGGGGGUUCUGAGCUUGGCUCAGACACCAUAACUGCCCUCUUCUGCAUGCUGGAAGCCCAACUUCGAGGGACUGGUGGAUUCAGUUCCUGGCAAGGGCUCUCUCCUUGGGUUUGCAGGUGGCCACUGGGUCCUCACAGGGGGCUGGAGAGACAGGACCCCAGUGCACCCACUCUCAGCAAAC
rnacentral:lncRNA from 1 species